AAUAACCCAAAAUCUUAUCCCUUUUUUUCUCCCACACUUACUCACCACUUAUACCUAAUUAACCCAAAACCCCUUACUUUUCAUUCAUGAAUCAUUCCAUCCUCCUUCUUUGUUAACCCAAAUACACUUCCUCCCUCAUCGACCCCCCCACCCAGAAAUGCAAAUUCAUUUCAUCUUGAGCUUUUCGGUGAAAUUUCGGUUCUUGAGCUUCCCGUGAAUCUCCCUCUUCCAGGUAACAAAUUUAAUCAAUUAACCUUUCAAUCUCCUUUGAUUUUUGUCGAUUCAAUGAUUUUCCUUUACCAUUUUCUUAUUUAUUUCUUGUUUGUGAAUCUGAAAAUUCUGGUUGAGAAGCCAUUUUUAGUGAUCUACUAUGUUUCGUUGAUCUACAAUUAUUUUCAGUAAAAAAAAAAGGCUUAAUUACUCUUUUGGUCCCUUAACUUAUUUUUUGGUUUCGUUUUGGUUCCUUAACUAUUAAAAGUUUCGUUUCGGUCCCAUAACUUAUUUUUGGGUUUUCUUUUGGUCCCUUAACUAUUAAAAGUUUUGUUUUGGUCCCUUAACUUAUUUUUUAGUUUCGUUUUGGUCCCUUAACUUAUUUUUUGGUUUCAUUUUGGUCCCUUAACUCUAAUACAUUCAUCCUAACAUAAAGGACCAAAGUGGUUGACGGAGGAAGAGUUAAGGGACCAAAAUGAAACCAAAAAGUAAGUUAAAUGACCAAAACGAAACUUUUGAUAGUUAAGGGACCAAAACGAAACCGAAAUAAUGGAUAAAUGGAUAGUUAAAUGACCAACACUGUUUUUAAUCUUUUUAUGAUAAAGAUGGUUGUUUCAGUGUUUUAAAUAAUGGAUAAAUGAGUAUGCAAUUUCACUUUUUAUUGUUUUUAUUUUGAUUUGAAUUGAAAUUUGGAGCAUCAUGAAAUAACCCGUGGGAGUUAGAAAGAUUUGAUUUUGAAUUGUUUUUAAUAAAGGUGGAUUGAAUGCUUUAAUGGAGCCAGAGCUUGAUCUGGAUUUGUGAAAUCAGUAUCUUUAUAAAGUAAGAUUUGUGGUGGAAUCUGAAUGUUCUGUGUUUGUUAGAUUUGUAUAAAUAAUACUAUAGAAUGAUUUGGAAUGGAACUUUUAUAUAACUAUUUUUGUAAAUAAUACUCUAGAUUGAUUGCGGUUGAGUUUGAAUGUUAGGUGUUUGUUAAAUUGGUCUGGUUUAUGUUACAAUGUUACAUGUUAAGAGAGUUUUGAAGUCUAAGAAAUUUUUUAUGUGCCUUACCUUGGCUGCAUCUCAUGUACAAUUAUCCAGUAGCUUCUUGUGUGGAAAAUGUAAUUGAAGAAACUAGCUUCUUGUGAUGGUGUUCUAUUUUCAGUCAUUGAUUCUUUAGUAAACAUUUGGUUUUCAUACUGCUAUUGUUG
rnacentral:lncRNA from 1 species